GGGCCUGUAGUUUAGUGGUCUAAAACGCACUGCUCAUAACUGUGUUAUCGGAGGUUCGAAUCCUUUCAGGCUCA
rnacentral:tRNA from 2 species